GCAUAUUUCUGGUGCACUGGUAGUAGCACGUGUCCCCGGUAUGGAUGAAACACGGGCUCGAUUCCCGUCUGAGGCC